GUAUUAGGUUUUGGGGCUUUGGAAACGUUUGAGGUUUUUGGCGUUAGGGUUAAAAUCACUGUCCAAAACCUUUGUAGGAACUCUUUUCCAACCUUUUGGAGUUAGUUAGACCAAAAAAAAAAAUGAAAAAUGAAAAAAAAUAUUUGGGGUGUUCGGGCUUCCUGAAGGUAAUACCCGGGUAUUAGGUUUUGGGGCUAGGGUAAGGUUUAAGGUUUUUGGCGUUAGGGUUAAAAUCAGUGUCCAAAACCUUUGUAGGAACUCUUUUCCAACCUUUUGGAGUUAGUUAGACCAAAAAAAAAAAAAUGAAAAAUGAAAAAAAAAUAUUUGGGGUGUUCGGGCUUCCUUAUUAGUAUUAGGUUAUGGGGCUUUGGAAAGGUUUAAGGUUUUUGGUGUUAGGGUUAAAAUCACAGUCCAAAACCUUUGUAGGAACAUGUUUCAGACCUUUGGAGUUUGUUACAAAAAAAAAAUGUAAAAUGAAAAAAAAAUAUUUGGGGUGUUCGGGCUUCCUGAAAGUAAUACCCGGGUAUUAGGUUUUGGGGCUAUAGUAAGGUUUAAGGUUUUUGGCGUUAGGGUUAAAAUCACUGUCCAAAACCUUUGUAGGAACUCUUUUCCAACCUUUUGGAGUUAGUUAGACCAAAAAAAAACAAAAAAUGAAAAAAAAUAUUUGGGGUUUUCGGGCUUCCUGAAGGUAAUACCCGGGUAUUAGGUUUUGGGGCUAGGGUAAGGUUGAAGGUUUUUGGCGUUAGGGUUAAAAUCACUGUCCAAAAACUUUUUAGGAACAUGUUUCAGACCUUUUGGAGUUAGUUUGACUAAAAAAUAACGAAAAAUGAAAAAAAAAUAUUUGGGGUGUUCGGGCUUCCUGAAGGUAAUACCCUGGUAUUAGGUUAUGGGGCUAGGGUAAGGUUUAAGGUUUUUGGCGUUAGGGUUAAAAUCAAUGUCCAAAACCUUUGUAGGAACUCUUGUCCAACCUUUUGGAGUUAGUUAGACAAAAAAAAAAGAAAAAGAAAAAAAUAAUUGGGGGUUUUACGGGCUUCCUGAAGGUAAUACCCGGGUAUUAGGUUAUGGGGCGUGGGAAAGGUUUAAGGUUUUUGGCGUUAGAGAUAAAAUCAGUGUCCAAAACCUUUUUAGGAACUCGUUUCCAACCUUUUGGAGUUAGACCAAAAAAAAAUGAAAAAUGAGAAAUUAUAUUUGGAUUGUUUGGGCUUCCUGACGGUAAUUCCCGGGUAUUAGGUUAUGGGGCUAGGGUAAGGUUUAAGGUUUUUGGCGUGAGGGUUAAAAUCACUGUCCAAAACCUUUGUAGGAACUCUUUUCCAACGUUUUGGAGUUAGUUAGACCAAAAAAAAAGGAAAAAUGAAAAAAAAAUAUUUGGGGUGUUUGGGCUUCCUGAAGGUAAUACCCGGGUAUUAGGUUAUGGGGCUUUGGAAAGGUUUAAGGUUUUUGGCAUUAGGUUAUGGGGCUUUGGAAAGGUUUAAGGUUUUUGGCGUUAGGGUUAAAAUCACUGUCCAAAACCUUUGUAGGAACUCUUUUCCAACCUUUUGGAGUUAGUUAGACCAAAAAAAAAAUGAUUAAUUAAAAAAAAUAUAUUUGGGGUGUUCGGGCUUCCUUAUUAGUAUUAGUUUAUGGGGCUUUGGAAAGGUUUAAGGUUUUUGGCAUUAGGGUUAAAAUCACUGUCCAAAACCUUUGUAGGAACUCUUUUCCAACCUUUUGAAGUUAGUUAGACCAAAAAAAAAAAAGGAAAAAGGAAAAAAAAAUUGGGGGUUUUCGGGCUUCCUGAAGGUAAUACCCGGGUAUUAGGUUUUGGGGCUAGGGUAAGGUUUAAGGUUUUUGGCUUUAGGGUUAAAAUCAGUGUCCAAAACCUUUGUAGGAACAUGUUUCAGACCUUUUGGAGUUAGUUAGACCAAAAAAAAAAGAAAAAUGGACAAAAAAAUAUUUGGGGUGUUUCGGCUUCCUGAAGGUAAUACCCGGGUAUUAGAUUUUGGGGCUAUGGUAAGGUUUAAGGUUUUUGGCAUUAGGGUUAAAAUCACUGUCCAAAACCUUUGUAGGAACUCUGUUCCAACCUUUUGGAGUUAGUUAGACCAAAAAAAAAUGAAAAAUGAAAAAAACAUAUUUGGAGUGUUUGGGCUUCCUGAAGGUAAUACCCGGGUAUUAGGUUAUGGGGCUUUGGAAAGGUUUAAGGUUUUUGGCGUUAGGGUUAAAAUCACUGUCCAAAACCUUUGUAGGAACUUUAUUCCAACCUUUUGGAUUUAGUUGGACCAAAAAAAAAAAAGAAAAAAAAAAAUUUUGGGUGUUUGGGCUUCCUGAAGGUAAUACCCCGGUGUUGGGUUUUGGGGCUAGGGUAAGGUUUAAGGUUUUUGGCGUUAGGGUUAAAAUCACUGUCCAAAUCCUUUGUAGGAACUCUUUUCCAACCUUUUGGAGUUAGUAAGACCAAAAAAAAACGAAAAAUGGAAAAAAAAAUAUUUGGGGUCUUCGGGCUUCCUGAAGGUAAUACCCGGGUAUUAGGUUUUGGGGCUAGGGUAAGGUUUAAGGUUUUUGGCGUUAGGGUUAAAAGCACUGUCCAAAACCUUUGUAGGAACUCUUUACCAACCUUUUGGAGUUAGCUAGACCAAAAAAAAAAAUGAAAAAUGAAAAAAAAAUAUUUGGGGACCCAGGCUUCCUGAAGGUAAUACCCUGGUACUAGAUUUUUGGGCUAGGGUAAGGUUUAAGGUUUUUGGUGUUAGGGUUAAAUCACUGUCCAAAACCUUUGUAAGAACUCUUUUCCAACGUUUUGGAGUUAGUUAGUCCAAAAAAAAAUGAAAAAUGAAAAAAAAUAUUUGGGGUGUUCGGGCUUCCUUAUUAGUAUUAGGUUAUGGGGCUUUGGAAAGGUUUAAGGUUUUUGGCGUUAUGGUUAAAAUCACUGUCCAAAACCUUUGUAGGAACAUGUUUCAGACCUUUUGGAGUUGGUUACACAAAAAAAAUGUAAAAUGAAAAAAAAUAUUUGGGGUGUUCGGGCUUCCUGAAGGUAAUACCCUGGUAUUAGGUUAUGGGGCUAUGGUAAGGUUUAAGGUUUUUGGCGUUAGAGUUAAAAUCAGUGUCCAAAACCUUUUUGGAACAUGUUUCAGACCUUUGGGAAGUAGUUAGACCAAAAAAAAACGAAAAAUGAAAAAAAAAUAUUUGGGGUGUUCGGGCUUCCUGAAGGUAAUACCCGGGUAUUAGGUUUUGGGGCUAGGGUAAGGUUUAAGUUUUUUCGCGUUAGGGUCAAAAUCACUGUCCAAAACCUUUGUAGGAACUCUUUUCCAACCUUUCGGAGUUAGUUAGACCAAAAAAAAAUGAAAAAUGAAAAAAAAAUAUUUGGGGUUUUCGGGCUUCCUGAAGGUAAUACCCGGUAAGGUAAUACCCUAGGUUAUGGGGCUAGGGUAAGGUUUAAGGUUUUUGGCGUUAGAGUUAAAAUUACUGUCCAAAACCUUUGUAAGAACUCUUUUCCAACCUUUUGGAGUUGGUUACACCAAAAAAAAAUGAAAAAUGAAAAAAAAAAUAUUUGGGGUGUUCGGGCUUCCUUAUUAGUAUUAGGUUAUGGGGCUUUGGAAAGGUUUAAGGUUUUUGGUGUUAGGGUUAAAAUCACAGUCCAAAACCUUUGUAGGAACAUGUUUCAGACCUUUGGGAAUUAGUUAGACCAAAAAAAAACCAAAAAUGAAAAAAAAAUAUUUGGGGUUUUCGGGCUUCCUGAAGGUAAUACCCGGGUAUUAGGUUUUGGGGCUAGGGUAAGGUUUAAGGUUUUUGGCGUUAGGGUUAAAAUCACUGUCCAAAACCUUUGUAGGAACUCUUUUCCAACCUUUUGGAGUUAGUUAGACCAAAAAAAAAAAUGAAAAAUGAAAAAAAAAUAUUUGGGGACCCAGGCUUCCUGAAGGUAAUACCCUGGUACUAGAUUUUUGGGCUAGGGUAAGGUUUAAGGUUUUUGGUGUUAGGGUUAAAUCACUGUCCAAAACCUUUGUAAGAACUCUUUUCCAACGUUUUGGAGUUAGUUAGUCCAAAAAAAAAUGAAAAAUGAAAAAAAAAUAUUUGGGGUUUUCGGGCUUCCUGAAGGUAAUACCCGGUAAGGUAAUACCCUAGGUUAUGGGGCUAGGGUAAGGUUUAAGGUUUUUGGCGUUAGAGUUAAAAUUACUGUCCAAAACCUUUGUAAGAACUCUUUUCCAACCUUUUGGAGUUAGUUAGUCCAAAAAAAAAUGAAAAAUGAAAAAAAAAUAUUUGGGGUCUUCGGGCUUCCUUAUUAGUAUUAGGUUAUGGGGCUUUGGAAAGUUUUAAGGUUUUUGGCGUUAGAGUUAAAAUCAG